GAUGAACGCUAGCUACAGGCUUAACACAUGCAAGUCGAGGGGAAACGGCAUUGAGUGCUUGCACUCUUUGGACGUCGACCGGCGCACGGGUGAGUAACGCGUAUCCCACCUUCCCAUUACUGUGGGAUAACCUGCCGAAAGGCAGACUAAUACCGCAUAGUCUUCGAUGACGGCAUCAGAUUUGAAGUAAAGAUGUAUCGGUAAUGGAUGGGGAUGCGUCUGAUUAGCUUGUUGGCGGGGUAACGGCCCACCAAGGCGACGAUCAGUAGGGGUUCUGAGAGGAAGGUCCCCCACAUUGGAACUGAGACACGGUCCAAACUCCUACGGGAGGCAGCAGUGAGGAAUAUUGGUCAAUGGACGGAAGUCUGAACCAGCCAAGUAGCGUGCAGGAGGACGGCCCUAUGGGUUGUAAACUGCUUUUGUAUGGGGAUAAAGUUAGGGACGUGUCCCUAUUUGCAGGUACCAUACGAAUAAGGACCGGCUAAUUCCGUG
rnacentral:rRNA from 1 species